rnacentral:rRNA from 1 species
UACGUAGGUGGCGAGCGUUGUCCGGAUUUACUGGGCGUAAAGAGUGCGCAGGCGCCAAGUCAGUCGAAUGUGAAAGCCCCCGGCUUAACUGGGGAGGGUCAUUCGAUACUGCUCGGCUCGAAGACAGGAGAGGGAAGUGGAAUUCCCGGUGUAGUGGUGAAAUGCGUAGAUAUCGGGAGGAACACCAGUGGCGAAGGCGACUUUCUGGCCUGUUCUUGACGCUGAGGCGCGAAAGCUAGGGGAGCAAACGGGG